UUGCAGACGGGGGCGAUUACUGAUUACAUUCUUCAGCAAAUCAGCAUCAACUGAGCCACACAUUUGGAGUAGGUGUGUAAAUGCCAGGUCACAGUGUGAGCGUGGAAUUAGGACAGAGUGGCAGUGCAGCGAUGCAGACUUUGUCCAGGCCCUCUCAGGCCUGUCUAUAGGGCAGCAGGUGAGCAUUUCUCAUGCAUGGACAACAUACAGGGUCAUAUUGUCGGUGUUGGCGUUGGAGGGCCUUUCCUGACCUGACAGGGGCUCCUGUCCGACGGCAGGAGUUGGCAGAGAGAUAUAAAGCAUCUCUACUACUUCACUCCCCAAGUUUCUUUCCUCUCAAUAUGGAGUGCUCAAUGGCAAUCACAGGCCCGCAUGUAGGAAGCAAGCGGAAUUUACCGUUACACGUUUACACGGCACCGUAAACCAAGACCCAGGACCAUAUCUAAACACACUGUAUACCACCCCCCACCCCCUUCCCUCCACCACCAAACCUUCACACCUCAAAGCUUUCACGUUGCCGUCCACGUUUCUCUGUACAAGCCGGACAGAAAGACUAGAACAAAAACUGUUGUUUUGGAGGUGGGGACGUAGUUGGUACAGAAAAACAUCUGUUAUGAAUAUACCUGUUAUAGAAAGGGGGGAGCGGUGUUCCUUCUGGGUCCCUGCUUAGGCCGGGACAGGAGGUCGGGGGGAAAUUCAGGGGUACCCUGGUUGUGCAGAAUUAAAGGUCUGAAAUAUUCCUCUGUAUCUGACUGCGUUUGCGCAGCGUUGCCAGACAGCUCCUGAUGACGGGGAGAGCUCUAACGGGGAUUACAUGCAGCUGUUUCAGACAUGUCCAGCUUCGUGUUUCAUCGGUGUGAGAAGCGCUUGAUAUACAUACCAAGGAUGAGCAGGCCGCUGACAGGGAGAUGUGAGAGUUAGCCACACCAUGUUCUUAUU